UUGGGAUGUGAAUUUACUGCACUUCAAGG
rnacentral:piRNA from 1 species